rnacentral:rRNA from 1 species
UGGGGAAUUUUGGACAAUGGGCGAAAGCCUGAUCCAGCCAUGCCGCGUGAGUGAAGAAGGCCUUCGGGUUGUAAAGCUCUUUUAGUCGGAAAGAAAGAGUUGCAGUGAAUAAUUGUGAUUUAUGACGGUACCGACAGAAAAAGCACCGGCUAACUACGUGCCAGCAGCCGCGGCAAUACGUAGGGUGCGAGCGUUAAUCGGAAUUACUGGGCGUAAAGGGUGCGCAGGCGGUCUUGCAAGUCAGAUGUGAAAGCCCCGGGCUUAACCUGGGAAUUGCGUUUGAAACUACAAGGCUAGAGUGCAGCAGAGGGGAGUGGAAUUCCAUGUGUAGCAGUGAAAUGCGUAGAGAUGUGGAAGAACACCGAUGGCGAAGGCAGCUCCCUGGGUUGACACUGACGCUCAUGCACGAAAGCGUGGGGAGCAAACA